rnacentral:rRNA from 1 species
CUUGGUCAUUUAGAGGAAGUAAAAGUCGUAACAAGGUUUCCGUAGGUGAACCUGCGGAAGGAUCAUUCAUAAUAAGUGUUUUAUGGCACUUUUUAACUCCAUAUCCACCUUGUGUGCAAUGUCGGUCGAUCUUCUUCUUGGGGAUCGACCAAACAUCAACCUUUAUCUUUUAACUCUUUGUCUGAAAAAUAUUAUGAAUAAACAAUUCAAAAUACAACUUUCAACAACGGAUCUCUUGGCUCUCGCAUCGAUGAAGAACGCAGCGAAAUGCGAUACGUAAUGUGAAUUGCAGAAUUCAGUGAAUCAUCGAAUCUUUGAACGCAUAUUGCGCUCUUUGGUAUUCCGAAGAGCAUGCUUGUUUGAGUAUCAGUAAACACCUCAAAGCUUUUGGAUUUUUUUUGAAAGCUUUGGACUUGAGCAAUCCCAACACCAAUCUUUUUUUUAAGAUCGGUGGCGGGUUGCUUGAAAUGCAGGUGCAGCUGGACAUUCUCCUGAGCUAAAAGCAUAUUCAUUUAGUCCCGUCAAACGGAUUAUUACUUUUGCUGCAGCUAACAUAAAGGGAGUUUGACCGUAUUGGCUGACUGAUGCAGGAUUUCACAAGGGUCGGCAACGAUUCUUGUUAAACUCGAUCUCAAAUCAAGUAAGACUACCCGCUGAACUUAGGCAUAUCAAUAAGCGGAGGA